rnacentral:rRNA from 1 species
UGGGGAAUAUUGGGCAAUGGGCGCAAGCCUGACCCAGCAACGCCGCGUGAAGGAAGAAGGUCUUCGGAUUGUAAACUUCUGUCAUUGGGGACGAAGGAAGUGACGGUACCCAAUGAGGAAGCCCCGGCUAACUACGUGCCAGCAGCCGCGGUAAUACGUAGGGGGCGAGCGUUGUCCGGAAUUACUGGGCGUAAAGGGUGCGUAGGCGGCGAUGCAAGUCCAUUGUGAAAAGCCCGGGCUUAACCUGGGAGGUGCAGUGGAAACUGCAUGGCUUGAGUGCAGGAGAGGAAAGUGGAAUUCCUAGUGUAGCGGUGAAAUGCGUAGAUAUUAGGAGGAACACCAGUGGCGAAGGCGGCUUUCUGGACUGUAACUGACGCUGAGGCACGAAAGCGUGGGGAGCAAACAG